UAGGUGAACCUGCGGAAGGAUCAUUAUCGAAUUAUAAGCAAAGGUUGUUGCUGGCCUCCCGGGGGCAUGUGCACACCUAAGCUCUUAAUCCAAAUUACACCUGUGAACUUAAUGUGGGAUGGUCUCCCUUCAGGGAAGCAAGUCUCAUGUCUUUCAUACACACUUGUCUCAGAAUGUCUUAUAUAUUGUUUGCUUUGACGCAAUCAAAUAAAUAAAUACAACUUUCAACAACGGAUCUCUUGGCUCUCGCAUCGAUGAAGAACGCAGCGAAAUGCGAUAAGUAAUGUGAAUUGCAGAUUUUCAGUGAAUCAUCGAAUCUUUGAACGCACCUUGCGCUCCUUGGUAUUCCGAGGAGCAUGCCUGUUUGAGUGUCAUUAAAUUCUCAACUUUGCUUGUCUUUUCGAGCAAAGCUUGGAUUUUGGAGCGUGCUGGCGAAGGUCGGCUCCUCUUUAAAUGCAUUAGCGGAAAGUCAUUUGACUUUUGCGGUGAAUCGGCGUGAUAAUAAUGUUGUUGCGUUGUUGGCCCAAAGGUCUCUGUCCGCUUACAAUGGUCUUCGGACGACUUAUUAUGAAACUUGACCUCAAAUCAGGUAGGACUACCCGCUGAACUUAAGCAUAUCAAUAAGCGGAGGAAAAGAAACUAACAAGGAUUCCCCUAGUAACUGCGAGUGAAGCGGGAAAAGCUCAAAUUUAAAAUCUGGCGGCCUCUAUGGUCGUCCGAGUUGUAAUCUGGAGAAGUGUUUUCUGUGUUGGACCGUGUACAAGUUUUCUGGAAUGGAACGUCAUAGAGGGUGAGAAUCCCGUCUUUGACACGGACUACCAAUGCUUUGUGAUACGCUCUCGAAGAGUCGAGUUGUUUGGGAAUGCAGCUCAAAAUGGGUGGUAAAUUCCAUCUAAAGCUAAAUAUUGGCGAGAGACCGAUAGCGAACAAGUACCGUGAGGGAAAGAUGAAAAGCACUUUGGAAAAGAG
rnacentral:misc_RNA from 1 species